CGCGGGGUAGAGCAGUCCGGUAGCUCGCAAGGCUCAUAACCUUGAGGUCACAAGUUCAAAUCUUGUCCCCGCAACCA
rnacentral:tRNA from 1 species